UUGGCUCAGAAUAAACGCUGCGGCGUGCUUAACACAUGCAAGCCGAACGGUGCUGCAGCAGAGGAAGUUUCGGCAGAAUCAGCAGCAGCAUAGUGGCGGACGGGUGAGUAACGCGUGGGGAACCUGCCUCAGACCGGGGGAUAGCAGCUGGAAACGGCUGGUAAUACCGCAUAAGCGCACAGCUCCGCAUGGAGCGGUGUGAAAAACUCCGGUGGUCUGAGAUGGACCCGCGUCUGAUUAGCCAGUUGGUGAGGUAACGGCCCACCAAAGCGACGAUCAGUAGCCGGCCUGAGAGGGCGGACGGCCACAUUGGGACUGAGACACGGCCCAGACUCCUACGGGAGGCAGCAGUGGGGAAU
rnacentral:rRNA from 1 species